AUAUGUUACAGGCCUGACCUCAAAUCGGGUUCAGUAAAAAAAAAAAAAAAGUACAAUGAAACUUCUCUACAAUGAAAUCAUGUUUGCAGCAAGAAAUUUUUCACAACAGGGGGCUUUUCUCUGUAGUAAAUUUGAUUUCAGAUGUAAACACACACACACACACGUAUGUGUUGAAUCUCGUUGCGAGGCAAGGGCAGAGAAAAAGAUUUUGUAUAACGGAACAUGAGGACUUUUCGUCCUCGGGGGAGCAGAAAAGUGGGAAUGGCUUUCAUGCAUGAACAUUGUUUUCACACUAAGGGGUAUUUUCGCCAUGUAGGUUUCGUUGUAGAGGAGUGUCACUGUAUAUCCAACUGUGAGUAAAACAGCUGGAGUUUGAUGUUGAUAUUAAGUACAUUAACCCUUUCAGGGGCAGCGGUUACUACAGUGGAUGGCUUAUCAUGCUAUCAGGUUAAAGGUUGCACAAAAGGGUUAAAAUGACAUUGAAAUGUUCUUUUGUGGGAAGCAUAUUGAGAUAUCUUGUGUACGAAAUUUGAUUUCUUUAUCAAGUCGUCUUGCUUUGCAUUGGCUUGAAGGCAAACGAAAAAGGUUGUGGAACGUGACAACAACAACACUUUUUUUUCUACCCAUGCAUGUACUCACUUUACUUUGCACACUGGGUUACAGUCAUGAAUGCCUUACCCUAAGUGAGGCAUAAAACUGUCCAAAAUGUCUUGGUAGCCUAAAGAAUCAGGGGAAACUAAGCAGAGUUUAUUCCCUCUUGACUGCAGUGGAACUGAGACAGAAAACUAGAUUUCCCCUCGGCCCCCAGCCCCCACCCCUUUCUAUGAAUGUCUCCAUGCUGCCUCUAUUUGGUUGGUUAUUUCACACUACUGCUUGUUAAGAACCUUGGCCAAGAUGGAACUAAAAAUAGUUCCCGCCAGCAGGACCAGGUGAUACCAUCUGUUGGAAAACAGUCAUUUGGACACAAAGCAUUUUGAUCCACCGUCUCAUCAAACCAAAAAUUUCUCAAGUCAGUGAAAAUAAAAAGAAUCAGACUCACUAUUUCAAUAUUUUUGGGAGGAGUGAUUAUCAGUCACAGACCUGAGCCUGGUCUGGCUACCCGAAUGUCUCUCCUUAACAUAUCGUAUUAGACACACACACACAGAAGUGCCAGGGGCCAAGAUAAAAAUAGCUUAGCUUUCGCAUCUAUGGAUAUGUAUUUGAGAUAUGAAGCCAGAACAGCACCCCAUAAAUUUUGACAGAGAAAAUACAUUUGGGCAUUGUAGAAAAAUUGACACCGAACCUGUAUUAGCAUGACAUGGACAUCAAUCAUGUGUGGUGUAAUGUUCCUGCACUCCAUCCAUCCAUCCAUCCAUUUUCUGAACCGCUUUAUCCUCACAUGGGUCGCGGGGCAUGCUGGAGCCUUUCCCAGCUGUCUUUGGACAGAAGACAGGGGAGACCUUGAACUGGUUGGCAGUCAAUCGGAGGGCACACUGAAAUGAACAACCAUCCAUGCUUACAGUCACACCUAAGGACAAUUUAAAGUCAUUUAAAUCAUUUAAGUCAAUUCAAUCAGCCUGCCAUGCAUAUUUUUGGAAUGUGAGAGGAAACCGGAGUACCCGGAGAAACCCCAUACAGGCACGGGGAGAGCAUGCAAACUCCACACAGGAAGACCGGAGUCGGAUUCUAACCCUGCAACUAACCACUCGAUCACCGUGUUAAUCUGUUCCGGCACUGAUUUGGCUUGUCUUUUUUUUUUGGACCCUAUUGAACUUGUUUUCUUUUGGCAAGUGCAGUUCCUGUGGCAUAUUCUCGGUUUGCCAAAAAUGAAACAUCUAAAUACGGUACUGCCAUUAGACUUUAUAUAAAUCUGAUUAAAUGGAUGGAGAUCUGCUGAUAUCAUGCAUUUCACGGAAAAUCCGAUGUCAUCGAAAAUCGACAGAAACAAAACAACAUGACGGGAGCACAACAAUCCAACCUGAGCUGUCGACGUGCCAUUCCUUUUGAAAGAAAAUAACUAAUGACAUGAUGACCAACAGGUGCGACUUUGGAAGAGAAGCUCUACAUUGCCACCUGUUGGUCACAAACAGAACAAUCAUAACAUACAUGCAGUUAGCGUGGGAAAA